rnacentral:rRNA from 1 species
UACGGAGGGGGCUAGCGUUGUUCGGAAUUACUGGGCGUAAAGCGCGCGUAGGCGGCUUUGUAAGUUAGAGGUGAAAGCCCAGGGCUUAACCCUGGAAUUGCCUUUAAGACUGCAUCGCUAGAAUCGUGGAGAGGUGAGUGGAAUUCCGAGUGCAGAGGUGAAAUUCGUAGAUAUUCGGAAGAACACCAGUGGCGAAGGCGACUCACUGGACACGUAUUGACGCUGAGGUGCGAAAGCGUGGGGAGCAAACAGGGAUUAGA